UACGUAGGUGACCAGCGUUGUCCGGAUUUACUGGGCGUAAAGAGCGCGCAGGCGGUCGUUCAAGUCGAGUGUGAAAGCCCCCGGCUCAACUGGGGAGGGUCAUUCGAUACUGAUCGACUUGAAGGCAGGAGAGGGAAGUGGAAUUCCCGGUGUAGUGGUGAAAUGCGUAGAUAUCGGGAGGAAUACCAGUGGCGAAGGCGGCCUUCUGGACGGAUACUGACGCUGAGGCGCGAAAGCCAGGGGAGCAAACGGG
rnacentral:rRNA from 1 species